rnacentral:rRNA from 1 species
AGAUUGAACGCUGGCGGCAUGCUUUACACAUGCAAGUCGAACGGUAACAGGCCGCAAGGUGCUGACGAGUGGCGAACGGGUGAGUAAUGCAUCGGAACGUGCCCAGUCGUGGGGGAUAACGCAGCGAAAGCUGUGCUAAUACCGCAUACGAUCUAUGGAUGAAAGCGGGGGACCGAAGGGCCUCGCGCGAUUGGAGCGGCCGAUGUCAGAUUAGCUAGUUGGUGGGGUAAAGGCCCACCAAGGCGACGAUCUGUAGCUGGUCUGAGAGGGCGACCAGCCACACUGGAACUGAGACACGGUCCAGACUCCUACGGGAGGCAGCAGUGGGGAAUUUUGGACAAUGGGCGCAAGCCUGAUCCAGCAAUGCCGCGUGCAGGAAGAAGGCCUUCGGUUGUAAACUGCUUUUGUACGGAACGAAACGGUCUAGGUUAAUACCUCGGCUAAUGACGGUAACCGUAAGAAUAAGACGACCGGACUAACUACGUAGCCAGCAGCCGUA